UUGACUUGGCAAACUGAUAGUAGAAGAAUUUGAGAAGCCCACUUGGUUGGGGACGCCUUGGACAGUGUAUUUCUUUUCCCCAAUUUUGGAGUUUUUUUUACGACUAGAGAGAGAAGCAAAAGCAGAAGCAGAAGCAGAAGCUGAAGGAAGAAGGAUGAUACACAGGAAAUGGAGUUUGCUGACAGGCCCCGCUGCUAUUCUCGGCGGUAUCGUCGGUACUAUCGUCGUCGCCAAUUUUAUCUUCGUCCAAAAUGAUCCGUUCCUUAAGCCCGAUCGGAAGCAGGAGAAGGCACCUUCAAACAAGUGAGAAAUGCGUGUGAUUUUCUUGGGUUUGGGGUUUUCUGUUGGUUUGAUUUGUCACUACAUUACGGCCCAAUAAACUCAAAUUUUGAGCAUCAGCUUGAAUGUAGGUUUUCUUUUGUUGGCUUUCUUUCUGUACUCUUUCUCUUCACAGAAUAUGAAAAACAAGAGUCCUAGGUUGGGAACUGGUCAUCUCCUGUUUCGUGAUGCUUUAUUCAGGAUAUGAAUAGAAUAAAAUGUGGAGAUGCGACAAAUCUGAUAUUGUGCAGAAAGCAAGACAGGUGCUGUUGCAUUAUAGGUUGGCGAAAGACGAGCUUGUUUAUUAUCAAAUUUACCUUUAUCGUAAUACUUAUUUUUUAUUUU